UUUUUAUAGUCUGGAGUUUGAGG
rnacentral:piRNA from 1 species